UGCACCUGCGGCAGAUCCGGCACAAAUUCUCUGAAUGGCUUCGCAGGUAGCCAAUUUGUGUACGAUCCGGUAUAUCCCAUAAUUUUAUGGGAUUUAAUGAUUUCU
rnacentral:sRNA from 1 species